UACGGAGGGGGCUAGCGUUGUUCGGAAUUACUGGGCGUAAAGGGAGCGUAGGCGGUAGAGUAAGUUAGAUGUGAAAGCCCAAGGCUCAACCUUGGGACUGCAUUUAAAACUGCUUUACUAGAGUACAGGAGAGGAAAGUGGAAUUCCUAGUGUAGCGGUGAAAUGCGUAGAUAUUAGGAGGAACACCAGUGGCGAAGGCGACUUUCUGGACUGUAACUGACGCUGAGGCUCGAAAGCGUGGGGAGCGAACAGG
rnacentral:rRNA from 1 species